UAAUACCUCCCCAAGAACGUUUCAACGAGACUUGCUCAAUUCCAGGCUUGUUCAUGUGUCACUUCACAGAUCGCAGCAUUUGCUUGGCAAUUUCUUUUAUUUUAAUUGCAACUUCCCACUUCAU
rnacentral:lncRNA from 1 species